rnacentral:rRNA from 1 species
AGCGAACGCUGGCGGCGUGCUUAACACAUGCAAGUCGAACGUGAAAUGUAGCAAUACAGAGUAAAGUGGCGUACGGGUGAGUAACACGUGGGUAAUCUACCUUAGAAUCUGGAAUAACAGGCCGAAAGGCUGGCUAAUACUGGAUAGUUCAAGUGCAUCGUAGAGGUGCGAUUGGGAAAGGGAGCUCGCAAGAGCCUUCGUUCUAAGAUGAGCCCGCGUCUGAUUAGCUAGUUGGUGAGGUAAUGGCUCACCAAGGCUGAGAUCAGUAGCUGGUCUGAGAGGAUGAUCAGCCACACUGGAACUGAAACACGGUCCAGACUCCUACGGGAGGCAGCAGUGGGGAAUCUUGCGCAAUGGACGAAAGUCUGACGCAGCCACG